UGAAGUUAAUAAAAAGUAGUUGGUUACAUAAAUAUCAGGGGCAAGCCAGGACUCAUCAAAUUGAAUCGAGAUUCAUGGUCAAAAUAGAUAUGAACAGUGAUUUGAUUGUAUUGGGUUCAGUUUUAUUCAAAAUCAAAAUAUGACUUCAACGCAUCUAAAUACUGAUAACCACACAGUCCCAACACAAGUACAAGAUUUUGCUCUAUUGCAGGUUUUUCCGCAAUAACGGCACCGCAAAGUGACCGGUAUGGCAGGAUUUUGCCUCUCCGUCAUGGACCGCCAUCAACAACACUGUCUGCCACACGGACAAUCCCACUCUCCCCUUUCCUAUUCUUCAAGCUUCAACCCACUGCAUAUUAGGUUUAGGGUUGUUGUGUAACGGUCCAUUUGGCCCAGAAUUCUCAUUUGGGGUUCUAACAUAUGCACCUUACAAAAUUUAGUUACUAUUUACACGUGCAAAAAUAGAUAAUAAACUAGACAUCACAUAAUCUAGCUCAAAAGGAUGAAAAAGAAGCUGGUCAAAUACUACUAAACAUUUUGAACUUUUGUAUUUACUUUAAAAAGGCAAUUCUGAAAUGCCUCUUUACAGUAGGUAAACUGUUAUAGCUAGCCAGAUAAAUCUUUGCAAGUAAACAAACCUUUAAAGUAUAGUACAGGAGGUCAGACAUCCUAAAUCCCUCAUAAGCCAUAAAAUCGUCAGAAUUCAGGCCAUGGAAAAACUUUAGACUGGUAUAACAUUGGCGAUUCAUAUGCAUAUAUUCCUCAAACAAACAAGAAUAUUCCGUAAUUCAACACAAAUAAAAAGUUGAGGUACCUUCUCAGCUUGAACCACAACCAUGAGACGACCAAGUAUCUCUUGAUCAGAUAGUCGCGAAAAUCUCACAAUUGCACACCUACUCUGAAUCGGCUCAAUAAUCUUAGACGAUGUAUUGCAAGCAAGCGCGAAACGAGUAGAAUUAGAAUAUAUCUCCAUCGUCCUUCUUAAAGCUUGUUGUGCUCCAGAUGUCAUACUGAUUCG
rnacentral:lncRNA from 1 species